rnacentral:tRNA from 1 species
GCUUCCUUAGCUCAGUUGGUAGAGCAAUUGAUUAGUAAUCAAUAGGUCGUCAGUUCAAAUCUGACAGGAAGCUCCA